AGUGAACGCUGGCGGCAGGCCUAAUACAUGCAAGUCGAACGGCAGCACAGCAGAGCUUGCUCUGUGGGUGGCGAGUGGCGGACGGGUGAGGAAUACAUGGGAAUCUGCCCAGUCGUGGGGGAUAACGUAUGGAAACGUACGCUAAUACCGCAUGCGCCCUACGGGGGAAAGCCGGGGACCGCAAGGCCUGGCGCGAUUGGAUGAGCCCAUGUUCGAUUAGCUAGUUGGCGGGGUAAAGGCCCACCAAGGCGACGAUCGAUAGCUGGUCUGAGAGGAUGAUCAGCCACACUGGAACUGAGACACGGUCCAGACUCCUACGGGAGGCAGCAGUAGGGAAUAUUGGACAAUGGGGGCAACCCUGAUCCAGCCAUGCCGCGUGAGUGAAGAAGGCCCUCGGGUUGUAAAGCUCUUUUGUCAGGGAGCAAAACCUACAGACUAAUACUCUGUGGGAUGAGAGUACCUGAAGAAUAAGCACCGGA
rnacentral:rRNA from 1 species